GUCAGGAUGGCCGAGUGGUCUAAGGCGCCAGACUCAAGGAUUAAAAUCCUUCUCCUGUAGCAGGAUUUGGGUAUUCUGGUCCACUGAUGUGGGCGUGGGUUCGAAUCCCACUUCUGACA
rnacentral:tRNA from 1 species